GGAGGCCGGAUCCUGGGCUGUGUCCCGGCGCCCUGGGCUCCGGGGCCUGCGCUGUUUGAUUCGCGCUCCCGGCCCGCAGCCCCCUCU
rnacentral:pre_miRNA from 1 species